GUUCAAUAUAGUAUGUGCAUGCAUGAUAGUCCUGACCGUUCCUUUGUAGUCCAGCUUCUACUCCUGGCGUCCAAGAGGGUGGUUACGAUUGCUUCUUCUAGACACACUACCAGUCUCUCACAAUGGAAGAGAUCCUGUUAUGCAGUCUCGCAUAAUGGAAAAGAGAAGAUGAUUUUAUGUCAACUGGACUCUACAUGGAUGGAAAUGAAAACACCAGAACUAAUAUAAUACCAAGGCUCAAACCAGAGUUGGACGACCUCUUAUCUCUAAACAUUAGAAAUGUAGAGCAGUCCAUGAAAGCUUCCCUACGCUACUACCGCACCGCUUGAUAUACUGAACUUGAUUCCUCGGUGCAUAUAAAAUGAUACAACUGUAUUUACAUUGGAGUAGGCAAGUAAUGGGUUCUAGAAGAUAGACAAGAUCAAGGACUCCAACAGGCACACUGGUGGCUCGAAGAACUCACUGGGAAGAUGAGCGAGUGCAAGCGGUAAGUCUUGUUGAACGCUGUCGUUGUUGUUCCUACUUGAGCCUGCAAUUUCAUAUCUUCUGCAUGUGGCAUG